rnacentral:rRNA from 1 species
UUGUUAAUGUCAAGACUCAAGGUUAUUAACCAAAAGCUUUUCUUCACAAUUGAAAGUGCUUUACAACCCUCAGGCCUUCUUCACACACGCGGUAUUGCUGCAUCAGGCUUUCGCCCAUUGUGCAAUAUUCCCC